GCCAGGCCUUGGCCGGGGCAGCAGCGGGAGGAGGAGGAGAAGGAGGAGGAGGGAAGUGCGGCUCAGACAGCGCGGCGCCAGCAAACACCUGCAAACAGCUCCGGGCACACAAUGGCAAAUACAGGUGGGAACCGCCGCCUCCGUCAGCGCAGCGAUUGCAUCAGACUCCGUCGCUUGCCAAGAGGCGAACGAGCCGGAUCACGGGCCACCGGCACCGCGGCGGGGUCGCGCUCGACCUUCACCACUCACCCCCCCCGGGUUUUCCAGGAAAGCAUCGGCAUCCCACAACAGCCAAGAUAAAUCUGUUCCAUGGGGUAAAUCUUCUCCCCGAGAGGCGUUUCAAAGAAAGUACUGGACACUGACAGCCCAGUCCAGGGAACUAGUGGGGGUCUGAACACGGCUUGUGCCAGAGUCUGGGAAUGCCGGGGUAGCUGUUCCGGGCAAAGCGCCGGGAUCCAUCCACCACGGGGGAGGAGGUAGCGGCCCUGGGAGGCUUUUUGGGAGCUAGAGCCGAACCCCCACAGCCCCUGGCCUCGGAAAUCCCCUGCCCUGAUGCCUGAGAGGGGAUAGGGGCCACCUCCACUCCCCAGGGGCUGCAGUCCCCCUCCACCUCCCCAGUGUCAUUUCCAUCCAAAAAGCCCCAGCAGGACUGGUUUCUGCCACCCUAUCCUAGCCCCUCUUCUCCAAGUAACUCCUGCCCCAAAGUAGGCUCACUAACGCUCCCACCAGUCUAGGAUUUCCACCACCAUCAUCUCUGAUGAGGGACCGAUUAGGACCUGGGAUGGAGUGCUCACACUGCAAGAAGCUGCACCUUCCAGGUACCAAGACUCAUCCCUGUCCCCUGGCUCAUGCCCAGGAUGCUUUUCCCACCCAUCCCACUUAAAUCUCUUUGGCACAUCAGCACUGGCACAGCUGGAGGACCAUGACACCCAGGUGAAUGUGGGGACACUCGCCCCUAACCCACCCCUUGCCUUUUCCUCCAGAGCCAAAAACCAGUGGAGAUGGCAAAAGCUAAUUUUUUCACUGUGAGCAUAACAGCAGUUCUGUUCCCAGAUGCAGUGGUUUUUGGAUGGACACCUUCACCUGCCUCUCACCAUGCCCGGACAGCCCAUGUCACCGCAUCCUACCCCAUCCAGAGGUGCAGGAGGAUACAGGCCCUGGGGAGCCUGGGGACAUCAAGCUGGGAGGAGGGAGGAAAGUUCCCAGGGGCUGGUGAUCCAGUUGGACCAGGUGGUGCUUUUUGGAAGCUCCACGUGCUGUUUUCUCUGUGGAAAUGCCCAUGGACAAGGAGCGUUUGGCAGGUGCCUGCUGCACCCCAAGCUCCUGUUCUUCCAUUGGGUAGAGUCUGAAGCCAGUGUGUUAGGGCAAAGCUUUGUAUCACUCUGUGCUCCGAGACCCUUGUGUCUUCUCCCUUCUCCUCUUCCAAUGAUGUACCCCUGGACGCUGGAGCACCCUGGGGACACCCCAAUGCCAGGGGGCAGGAUCCACAUCAUGCCUGGCUAAGCCCACAGCAGCAAAACCAGAGCCCAGCACAGGGAAUAAAGAUGAUGGUGCUACAGGUGGGGGUGAAGUCAAUUUAACUUCAUCCUGGGCAGGCCAACACCUUCCCCAGGGAGCAUGAUCCAGCUCCACAACUGAGCCAGCCCCGGGUCACAUCUGUUCUGCUCCCGGGCCAAAGGGAAACCACAGCAUUACCCAAGGAGAGGGAAAAGCAUUUUUGCUCCCAACACCUCUUCCCUGUAGUGUUGACCCCGAGGAGAUCGGGCCAGGCAGGGGCUGCUCUCUCAAUACUACCUGGGGCAGCAAAAGCAGUCCAAAAACUCCUCUACCCAUAUGGGGUAUAUCCUGGGGGAGCAACAUCACCCCUUCCAGCCCAGUAGAAGCUCAAAUCCAGUAUCAUAGCAGCUAUCAGCCCAUUUUCACAUGACUAAAAGUGGAAAAAAGCGUAUUUUUCCCUCCUUCCCAGGGCUCCAGCUACACUUCUAGAUGGUCCCCGGGGCUGCAGCACCGUCUUCACUCUUUCGGUAUCAGGUAAGCACAGCAGCACACAAAAUAGCUGGCAGCCACCUCGGCCAGGAACGGGCGGCCCAGGGUUAAUUCCUCCCAUACUUGAGCUGACAUUUCAAUGCUAUUACACAAUUAUGGAGAUUCCUACUGUAACCCUAGAAGUUCCCAUCAAAGUUUGGUAGGCUCCCACCCCCCCAGGGGGUUUUCCCACCCAGAGGUACACCCUAGCUCCUUGCAUCCCAGCGAUGAAGGAGAAAAACCAAUCAAAAUUAUCUGGCUUUUAUUAUGCAAAAAUGGUAACUUUUAUAAAAAGUUUAU